rnacentral:lncRNA from 1 species
CGGGGCCGGGCUGAGGUGGCGUGUGGGUGGCCGUGCCCCUCUGCCUGGAGCCGCCUCAAAUCAACUUUAUUGACAGUAGGCGGUGACCGACAGGCGGGGUGCACGCUGGGCACACGUGCCUGGUCGGUGUUACUUGAAGCGUGGGGACUAGAAGUCAGACCCUGAGGAGCAUGAUCUCUGGAAGCUGGAGAGACCUUAAGAGUUAGGCCAACCUGUUGUGGGUGCUGGAAUCCUUUGGGCACCAAGAAGUGCUUGCACACGCUCUACUGAUGGGGAACUUAACACUUCAUGAAGUCAUAAUGGUGAAGAGGAUGGUGACAUCCAAGGACAACCACAGGGCCUCUCUCCUGACACUGGUGAGAACCAGAUUCCUUUCCCUGGUUCUGUAGCUCCCAGCAGAGUUUUGGAAGCUGAUUAAAGAGAAUGUUGGAAAUAACAGGCAAUUAGAAACCUUAUUAAAAAAA